rnacentral:rRNA from 1 species
AGCGAACGCUGGCGGCAGGCUUAACACAUGCAAGUCGAACGCCCCGCAAGGGGAGUGGCAGACGGGUGAGUAACACGUGGGAACGUACCCUUUGGUUCGGAAUAACUUGGGGAAACUCAAGCCAAUACCGGAUAAGCCCUUAUGGGGAAAGGUUUACUGCCGAAGGAUCGGCCCGCGUCUGAUUAGCUAGUUGGUGAGGUAAUGGCUCACCAAGGCGACGAUCAGUAGCUGGUCCGAGAGGAUGAUCAGCCACACUGGGACUGAGACACGGCCCAGACUCCUACGGGAGGAAGCAGUGGGGAAUAUUGGACAAUGGGGGCAACCCUGAUCCAGCCAUGCCGCGUGAGUGAUGAAGGCCUUAGGGUUGUAAAGCUCUUUUACCCGGGACGAUAAUGACUGUACCGGGAGAAUAAGCCCCGGCUAACUUCGUGCCAGCAGCCGCAGUAA